UCUCACGAUUUGUGUUCAUCGCAAACUCACCUUUUCGCCUUUUUACUAAAGAUGCCUGUGGAUACCGGUCACCAUGUGACAGCACAAUUUUUCCAAAGGCUUGCCGCCUU